UGGUGCAGACGAUGAUUGCCUGCUGCCAAAUGGGAUUUGCAACUUUCUCUGAUGAGGCCACAACCGCCAGGGAGUAAGUUUGUGUCACCGUGAGCCGCGUUAAUCUUCCUCUUACUGGUUGUGGCCGGCGGCUGGGUGGCUGCUCAGCAGCAGAGAAGGAGAACUGUGUCUCCUGGCUCCCACUCAGCACCCAUCACCCAUCAUCAGUGGGGGUGAGGGUGGGGCAUGUCCUUAUGGUGGUUUCCCCCCCUCCUCCAGAGCAUGCCAUCUUGUCUGCCACCAAUGGUUUGAUGUUUUCUGAUUGGAUAGCACAAAAAGCACAGUUUAAGCACAGACAAGCUCUAUUUUUUACAUUAAAAAAAGCAGGAGAGGGAGAGAAUACUACCAGAGUAUUUAUAUUAAACAAACAAACAAAUUAUUCCCAGGUUGAAGUAGAAAGAGACCAGGAUUUACGUUGCAGAUCUGCCGUCAGCUAGCUGUGUGACCGUGUAUAAGGGAACCCCCCCAAUCUCCCACCUCUCCAAACCUUCGUUUCUUCAACUUGAAAAUGACAGAAAGAUGGUUUCUAAUAUCCCUUUCUUCAUAAAUCCUGUGAUUCCCAAUAAUCCCCUCACAAAAGUUUUUUGAGCACCUACGACAGCCAGAUAUUUUGCUAAGUGGGGAGGGUACAAGAUGAGCAAAACCAGAGAUGUGGUUCCCGCUCGCAUGGUGCCUGGAGUCUGAUGUGAGAAGACAGACGUUCAUUGAAUAACCACCUAAAUGGCUGUGUAAUUCCAAACAGCAUGGAUUUUAUUCUCCAUUCUUUUUGAAACACUCCUGCUUGACCCCAAAGUCCUUUGCCCUUCUGUCAUUUCUAAAUACCUGUGGACGUAUCAUGUUACUCAGGAUCAAGUCUGCUGUCUGCUUUCUCCUGCUUGCCCCUAGGAGCCGAGAGACAGAAUAGAGAGGGCCUCAGCCUGUACAUUGGAAUCACCUGGGGAGCUCCAAUUCCCAAUGCCUGCCCACCUGCUCCACCGAGUCCCUAUUGGGAUUGUCUGAGACAUAGCCUGGCCUCAGGAUUGUUUAAAGCUUCCCAAGGAUUCAACUGAGACUGAAAUCCAUGUAAGGGAGCGCCAGGUUCCGACACCCUUGGAUGUGCACUUAAAGUAUUUAAUGAACAGUAUUUUGAAUACAUUUCUUCAUACAGGUUGAUCUCAAGUUCUCUUGUAUUCCUUUCAUUUAAAAAAAAAUGUAUCUAGGAAAAUGAACCCCACACCGCUGACGGGACUAUUAAAUGGUACAGCCACUUGGGAAAACAAUUUGGCAGUUUCUUAAAAUGUUAUAUAUAAAUUUACCAUAUGACCCAGAAAUUCCAUUCUUAGAUAUGUACCCAAAAUAAAUUAAAAAAUGUGUCCACACAAAGGCUUGUACACGAAUGUUCAAAGAAGCAUCAAUCAUAAGAGCCAAAAAAUAACCCAAAUGUCCGUGAACUGAUGAAUGGAUAAACAAAAUAUGAUCUAUCCAUACAAUUAAACAGUGUAUCCAUGCAAUUAAAUGGAAUACUAUUUGGUAAUUUUUUAAAAAGUGUUAAUACGUGCUACAAUACAGAGGAUCCUCAAUAACAUUAUGCUAAAUUUAAGAAGCCAGACACAAAAGACCACAUAUUGCACGAUUCCAUUUACUUGUCCAGAAAAGCAAACCUAUAAAGACAGAAAGCAGGUGAGUGGUUGUCUGGGACCUGGUGUGGAAACAAGGAUUAACUGUAAAUUGGCAGGAAGGAUCUUACUGGAGCGAUGGAAAUGUUCUAAAACGGGACUGUGUUGAUGAUUACACAACUUGGUAAAUUUACUAAAAAUCAUUGAAUUGUAUAUUUAAAACAAGUGAAUUUGUGAUAUGUAAG